rnacentral:rRNA from 1 species
CCCUUAGAUGUUCUGGGCCGCACGCGCGCUACACUGACGAUGGCAACGAGUUUUUCCUUCGCCGAAAGGUGUGGGUAAUCUUUUGAAACAUCGUCGUGCUGGGGAUAGAUCUUUGCAAUUUUUGAUCUUGAACGAGGAAUUCCUAGUAAGCGCGAGUCAUCAGCUCGCGUUGAUUACGUCCCUGCCCUUUGUACACACCGCCCGUCGCUACUACCGAUUGAAUGGUUUAGUGAGGACUCCUGAUUGGCGCCGCCGCCCCGGCAACGGAGCAGCGGACUGCCGAAAAGUUGUUCAAACUUGAUCAUUUAGAGGAAGUAAAAGUCGUAACA